rnacentral:rRNA from 1 species
AACACAUGCAAGUCGAGCGCACCUUCGGGUGAGCGGCGGACGGGUGAGUAACGCGUGGGAACGUGCCCUUCUCUACGGAAUAGCCAUUGGAAACGAUGGGUAAUACCGUAUACGCCCUUCGGGGGAAAGAUUUAUCGGAGAAGGAUCGGCCCGCGUUAGAUUAGAUAGUUGGUGGGGUAAUGGCCUACCAAGUCUACGAUCUAUAGCUGGUUUUAGAGGAUGAUCAGCCACACUGGGACUGAGACACGGCCCAGACUCCUACGGGAGGCAGCAGUGGGGAAUCUUAGACAAUGGGCGCAAGCCUGAUCUAGCCAUGCCGCGUGAGUGAUGAAGGCCUUAGGGUCGUAAAGCUCUUUCGCCAGGGAUGAUAAUGACAGUACCUGGUAAAGAAACCCCGGCUAACUCCGUGCCAGCAGCCGCGGUAAUACGGAGGGGGCUAGCGUUGUUCGGAAUUACUGGGCGUAAAGCGCACGUAGGCGGAUUGGAAAGUAUGGGGUGAAAUCCCGGGGCUCAACCCCGGAACGGCCUCAUAAACUUCCAGUCUGGAGUUCGAGAGAGGUGAGUGGAAUUCCGAGUGUAGAGGUGAAAUUCGUAGAUAUUCGGAGGAACACCAGUGGCGAAGGCGGCUCACUGGCUCGAUACUGACGCUGAGGUGCGAAAGUGUG